rnacentral:rRNA from 1 species
AACGCUAGCUACAGGCUUAACACAUGCAAGUCGAGGGGCAGCAUGGUCUUAGCUUGCUAAGGCCGAUGGCGACCGGCGCACGGGUGAGUAACACGUAUCCAACCUGCCGUCUACUCUUGGACAGCCUUCUGAAAGGAAGAUUAAUACAAGAUGGCAUCAUGAGUCCGCAUGUUCACAUGAUUAAAGGUAUUCCGGUAGACGAUGGGGAUGCGUUCCAUUAGAUAGUAGGCGGGGUAACGGCCCACCUAGUCUUCGAUGGAUAGGGGUUCUGAGAGGAAGGUCCCCCACAUUGGAACUGAGACACGGUCCAAACUCCUACGGGAGGCAGCAGUGAGGAAUAUUGGUCAAUGGGCGAGAGCCUGAACCAGCCAAGUAGCGUGAAGGAUGACUGCCCUAUGGGUUGUAAACUUCUUUUAUAAAGGAAUAAAGUCGGGUAUGGAUACCCGUUUGCAUGUACUUUAUGAAUAAGGAUCGGCUAACUCCGUGCCAGCAGCCGCGGUAAUACGGAGGAUCCGAGCGUUAUCCGGAUUUAUUGGGUUUAAAGGGAGCGUAGAUGGAUGUUUAAGUCAGUUGUGAAAGUUUGCGGCUCAACCGUAAAAUUGCAGUUGAUACUGGAUAUCUUGAGUGCAGUUGAGGCAGGCGGAAUUCGUGGUGUAGCGGUGAAAUGCUUAGAUAUCACGAAGAACUCCGAUUGCGAAGGCAGCCUGCUAAGCUGCAACUGACAUUGAGGCUCGAAAGUGUGGGUAUCAAACAGGAUUAGAUACCCUGGUAGUCCACACGGUAAACGAUGAAUACUCGCUGUUUGCGAUAUACUACAAGCGGCCAAGCGAAAGCGUUAAGUAUUCCACCUGGGGAGUACGCCGGCAACGGUGAAACUCAAAGGAAUUGACGGGGGCCCGCACAAGCGGAGGAACAUGUGGUUUAAUUCGAUGAUACGCGAGGAACCUUACCCGGGCUUAAAUUGCAGAUGAAUUACGGUGAAAGCCGUAAGCCGCAAGGCAUCUGUGAAGGUGCUGCAUGGUUGUCGUCAGCUCGUGCCGUGAGGUGUCGGCUUAAGUGCCAUAACGAGCGCAACCCUUGUUGUCAGUUACUAACAGGUUCCGCUGAGGACUCUGACAAGACUGCCAUCGUAAGAUGUGAGGAAGGUGGGGAUGACGUCAAAUCAGCACGGCCCUUACGUCCGGGGCUACACACGUGUUACAAUGGGGGGUACAGAGGGCCGCUACCACGCGAGUGGAUGCCAAUCCCCAAAACCUCUCUCAGUUCGGACUGGAGUCUGCAACCCGACUCCACGAAGCUGGAUUCGCUAGUAAUCGCGCAUCAGCCACGGCGCGGUGAAUACGUUCCCGGGCCUUGUACACACCGCCCGUCAAGCCAUGGGAGCCGGGGGUACCUGAAGUGCGUAACCGCGAGGAGCGCCCUAGGGUAAAACUGGUGACUGGGGCUAAGU